GACGGAGGAUGCAAGCGUUGUCCGGAAUCAUUGGGCGUAAAGAGCGCGUAGGCGGUCCGGUAAGUCCGCUGUGAAAGUCAAGGGCUCAACCCUUGAAUGCCGGUGGAUACUGUCGGGCUAGAGUCCGGAAGAGGCGAGUGGAAUUCCUGGUGUAGCGGUGAAAUGCGCAGAUAUCAGGAGGAACACCAAUGGCGAAGGCAGCUCGCUGGGACGGUACUGACGCUGAGGCGCGAAAGCGUGGGGAGCAAACAGG
rnacentral:rRNA from 1 species